rnacentral:rRNA from 1 species
CCUACGGGAGGCAGCAGUAGGGAAUCUUUCACAAUGGGCGAAAGCCUGAUGGAGCAACGCCGCGUGCAGGAUGAAGGCCUUCGGGUUGUAAACUGCUUUUAUAAGCGAGAAAUAUGAUGGUAACUUAUGAAUAAGGAUCGGCUAACUACGUGCCAGCAGCCGCGGUCAUACGUAGGAUCCGAGCAUUAUCCGGAGUGACUGGGUGUAAAGAGUUGCGUAGGUGGCAUAAUAAGUAGCUAGUGAAAUCUGGUGGCUCAACCAUUCAGACUAUUAGCUAAACUGUUAAGCUCGAGACCGUUAGGGGUAACUGGAAUUUCUAGUGUAGGAGUGAAAUCCGUAGAUAUUAGAAGGAACACCAAUAGCAUAGGCAGGUUGCUGGGACGGUUCUGACACUAAGGCACGAAAGCGUAGGGAGCAAACGGGAUUAGAUACCCCAGUAGUC